GACGUAGGGCGCGAGCGUUGUCCGGAUUUAUUGGGCGUAAAGAGCUCGUAGGCGGCUUGUUGCGUCGACCGUGAAAACCCGGGGCUCAACUUCGGGCUUGCGGUCGAUACGGGCGGGCUAGAGUUCGGUAGGGGAGACUGGAAUUCCUGGUGUAGCGGUGAAAUGCGCAGAUAUCAGGAGGAACACCGGUGGCGAAGGCGGUUCUCUGGGCAUGUCCUGACGCUGAGGAGCGAAAGUGUGGGGAGCGAACAGG
rnacentral:rRNA from 1 species